CUUGGGGCAGGGUGUCCCUCAGCCUGGAUUGCGAGAGGGCGCAGGCCAGGCCGAGGGACUCACUGGUGCACG
rfam:Myotis davidii contig196302, whole genome shotgun sequence.